rfam:Gossypium hirsutum cultivar TM-1 chromosome 14, whole genome shotgun sequence
CAUGUCAGCGCGCUUUGCUGACGUGGCAACAAAUCGCCCCUUCGUAGACUCAAUUUGUUGCCACGUCAGCAAAGCGUGCUGACGUGG